UGGUCCACCUGGAGCUGGUCCUCACCUGGGC
rnacentral:piRNA from 1 species